rnacentral:rRNA from 1 species
UGGGGAAUAUUGGACAAUGGGGGGAACCCUGAUCCAGCCAUGCCGCGUGUGUGAAGAAGGCCUUAUGGUUGUAAAGCACUUUAAGCAAGGAGGAGGGUACUGGUAUUAAUACUACCAGCUACUGGACGUUACUCGCAGAAUAAGCACCGGCUAACUCUGUGCCAGCAGCCGCGGUAAUACAGAGGGUGCGAGCGUUAAUCGGAUUUACUGGGCGUAAAGCGUGCGUAGGCGGCUAAUUGAGUCGGAUGUGAAAUCCCCGAGCUUAACUUGGGAAUUGCAUUCGAUACUGGUUAGCUAGAGUGUGGGAGAGGAUGGUAGAAUUCCAGGUGUAGCGGUGAAAUGCGUAGAGAUCUGGAGGAAUACCGAUGGCGAAGGCAGCCAUCUGGCCUAACACUGACGCUGAGGUACGAAAGCAUGGGGAGCAAACAGG